UGUUAAAAAAAGUAUGCUAAAUUUAUAUUGAAUUAAUUUUAUUAUUCAUAUAUAUGUAUUAAAACAUAACAUAACCGAGAAACAGUAGUUUAACGGUAACGGCGUCAACUUCUCAUCUUCUAAACCCUAAGACCUCAAUCACAGUUUCUUCUUCGCUUCUUCUUCACCACAUCGACACCUUCCCACCACCGCCCUCCAUCAUCGUCCUGAACCCCAACGCCAGGCUUACCGUCGCACACAUCCGCCUCCAACCAACCUCCACCUCCAUCACCACUUUACCGUCGCUGGUUCCGACCACCACGCCCUCAGCCGUCUUCUCCAACCACACCGGAACCACUACGCACCACCGUUCGCCCUCACCUUCGCCGCCGGUCUCCGACAUCAGGUUUGUAGAAGAUGGAAUACGAAAAAGAGAUCCCCGAAUCGAAAUAUGAAUGUCUUCUUUUUGGCGUCUAAUGAGCUAAAUAAUUUAGCUUAUUUUUAGAAAUUACUCGGCGCACGGAGGAUGACGAUCGAUGUAGAUGUAGAAGAAAUGCAGAAGAGGAAAAAGGAAAGCAACCUAAACUUAAAGAAACACCAAUCAUAGCUUUAUGUAAAGAAUUUAGUUUUUUUAAAUAUGAAGUUUCAGACACGUUAAAAUGACGUUUUUUGCGGUUUAACGUGCCGCAACGCACAUGGGAAAAUACUAGUUAUUAUUAUAUCUUAACAUUUUGUUUUUAGUUCAAAUAAUUUUUAAGACAAUUUGUCUUAUGUUUUCUUUUUGUUUCAUCAAUUAUUUGUAUACAUUGCAUUUUCCAAUUAUUUACUUCGCAAUAACUCAACAUUACGUUUAUU
rnacentral:lncRNA from 1 species